AAUGUUUUUUUUUUUUUUUGGAAAUAGCUUUAGCGACGUGGUUCCGGUUGAGGUACCCGGAGAUUGCAAUUAUUUAUUUAAUCCUGCUUUUUUCAUAUUUAUUUAUUAUUCUUGUUUUUCCUCUAAAGUUUUAUCUAUUUUUUCGUAACUCUUGAAAUCUUUGUUAGAACAUAAUUGAAUCUCUAACCGGCUUUGGAGGUAACAUUAUCUUCUCCAAUGGGCUCAGAGAUCCUUUCAGUAGUGGAUCGAUUCUACAGGAUUUAUCGAAGACCACUGUGGCAAUUAAAACCACUGAAGGUACAACUUGUAUGGAUAUGACAUCCUCAAAUCUCGAUUUUAAUGACCCGGAAUGGUUGAUAGCGCAGAGGAAACAAGAAUUGGACAUUUUCAAGGACUGGAUCGACCAUUUCCACCAUAUCAGUGGAUCUUACCCUACAAGUUUUAGUCUAUUUAUUACUUAUUGUUUACAAAUUCUUGUUUUCUCAUUUAUGACCCUUUAGUCUAGGGUUUUUUUUUUGAAACAAAACCACUAAUAUUUUAAUUAUUGUAUUAAUUAAUUACCUGAGAAGUUUUUAACCAUAUGUUGUUUGUUGAUUGGUUAAUUAUUUAGAGGACAAGAAUAUCAACCAUUAGUUAUGGCAUGUCA